ensembl:lncRNA
CUCAUACCUGGAGCGGUGUUUUAUCCCUGCGUGAGUGAGGAGCUCCCCAGCUACUCCAGGCUUAACAUCUCAGCCCUGGAAGGGACUGUUUGAAGUCCUGUCCCUGCUGGAUGCUCCAGGAGCUCAGAGCUGGAGCCAGGGUUUGACAGACCUCAUGUCUCUUAGUGCUUAGUGCAGCUAUGAGCACCAAGAUCUCCUUCAUCAUUCAAGAGGCUCAGCCUCACACCUGUAAUGGUUCCCUGUACUCCUUUGUACUAAAGUGUUAAGAGUUUUGCAUUUUCCCUCUCUUAUCUACACUUUCCUUGGGCAUUGUGUGGUACCUAGAUGAAAGAGAGAGACUUUCUUCAAUGUUUAACUUUGAGGGUACUAUAUCUGAUGGGCAAAAGUCAGGGUCACGUGUAGCAACUGAUAUUUAAAGACGAUCUAAAAUAUCUAGGGAAUCCCACCUCUCUUCUACAGUGGGCUUGCAAUGCAUUUGUGCUCUGGAGUUUUAUUAAAACAGCAUAACCUCAGAAAGAAAUCUUGGUGACUGAAAUAAUGAAAAUAGGUGGUGCAAACAGAAUGCAAGCACUCAGACACUGAAGUUCUCUACAGCUGCAGUUUUAUUUGUCUUGUGCAAACAGUAGAAAAUUGAGGCAGAAAAAUGGCAUAUGAAGUAACCCCACAUGAGGCUGCAAGUUGUUGAUACACAUCACUGGAGGUUCUGGUUGGCUGGAGAGCUGAAGAGAAAAAUUCCAAGGCAGAGGUGAAAGGAAUCAUGCAAGUAUUCUUACAUUUACCGGAGUAAGAAAUGAGAUAAUGUUUGCAUCCUGGGCUUUCUUGUUACAAAAUUCUCUUCUAAAGCCCCUACUUGUGUUUAGUCUGUGGUGGCCAGGAGAUAGGCUGGGUCUGCUGCUGCAUGGACAUGCCUCCAGAGCCAGAUGAACCACCUCCACCAGAGCCUCCUCCAAUAAUGCAGAUGGAUCCUUGGCCCUGGUGACCAGAACCACCCCCACCUCCUCCACCACCUCCUCCUCCAAUGCAGAUGGGUCCUUGGCUCUGGUAGCCAGAACCACCUCCUCCUCCUCCUCCUCCGCCUCCAAUGCAGAUGGGUCCUUGGCUCUGGUGACUAGAACCACCUCCACCUCCUCCUCCAAUGCAGAUGGGUCCUUGGCCCUGGUAGCCAGAACCACCUCCUCCUCCUCCUCCACCACCUCCAAUGCAGAUGGGCCCUUGGCUCUGGUGGCCAGAACCACCUCCUCCACCACCUCCUCCUCCAAUGCAGAUGGGUCCUUGGCCCUGGUAGCCAGAACCACCUCCUCCUCCUCCUCCUCCACCUCCAAUGCAGAUGGGUCCUUGGCUCUGGUGGCCAGAGCCACCUCCUCCUCCACCUCCUCCUCCUCCUCCAAUGCAGAUGGGACCCUGGCUUUGGUGGCUAGAACCACCUCCACCUCCUCCACCUCCUCCACCUCCACUAAUACAGAUGGGUCCUUGGCCCUGGUGGCUGGAACCACCACCACCACCUCCUCCUCCUAUGCUGCCACCUCCAAUGCAUAUGGGACCCUGGCUUUGAUGGGUCCUUGGCCCUGGUGGCCAGAACUACCACCACCACCUCCUCCUCCUCCACCUCCGCCAAUGCAUAUGGGACCCUGGCUUUGGUGGCCAGAACCACCUCCACCUCCUCCUCCUCCACCUCCACCAAUGCAGAUUGGUCCUUGGCCCUGAUGGCUGGAACCACCUUCACCUUUUCCUCCUCCACCACCUCCAAUGCAGAUGGGUCCUUGGCCCUGAUGGCUGGAACCACCUCCGCCUCCUCCUCCUCCACCUCCUCCAAUGCAGAUGGGUCCUUGGCCCUGAUGGCUGGAACCACCUCCGCCUCCUCCUCCUCCACCUCCUCCAAUGCAGAUGGGUCCUUGGCCCUGAUGGCUGGAACCACCUUCACCUUUUCCUCCUCCACCUCCACUGAUGCAGAUGGGUAUUUUGCUCUGGUGGCCAGAACCACCUCCUCCUCCUCCACCACCACCUCCACCGAUGCAGAUGGGUCCUUGGCUCUGGUGGUCAGAGCCACCACCUCCUCCUCCACCUCCACCGAUGCAGAUGGGUCCUUGGCUCUGGUGGUCAGAGCCACCACCUCCUCCUCCACCUCCACCGAUGCAGAUGGGUCCUUGGCUCUGGUGGCUGGAACCACCUCCACCACCACUGCUGCCGCCUCCUCCUCCAAUAAUGCAGAUGGGUUCUUGUCCCUGGUGGCCUGAACUUCCUCCUCCUCCUCCUCCUCCUCCUCCAAAGGAGGACGAUGAUAUGUGGGUCUGGUAGAUAGCACCACCACCACCGCUGCUUCCUCCACCAUGGCAGGACGAUCCUUGGCUCUGAUAUCCUAUAGAUCCUCCACCGCCACUACUGUGGCAGGAUCCUCCUCCACCACCCCCAUGGCAUGAGCUUCCUCCACUGCCACCACCAUGGCAUCCACCGGACUGCUCAGAGAUUCCUUGGCCUUCGCCCUUCUGCUGGUGGGAACCCAUCGUCACAGGAGCCAAAAGCCCUGCAAGAGAAAGAAAAAUGAGCACUAGAAGAUGAAGAAGAAGGAAAGCUUGCAUUACUGUGGCAUUACUGCCUCUUCCUUUCCCCCUCCCCUUCCCUAGGCAGGCUGAUACGAGAAAAUGCGAAAGGGUAUUGUCGACCUGAGGAACUUACAGCUCCAAAGCAAUUACCAAG